UCUUCGAUAACGAAUUAAUAAGUUAUGUUAUUUAAUUUCUAACGUAACUUACUUAACCAAAUUGCUGUGUGUAGUCUUUGCCUGUCAGCCCAUGAUAGGCUUUUUUUUUU
rnacentral:other from 1 species